ensembl:snoRNA
UUGUAAUGAUGUUGAUCAAAUGUCUGACCUGAAAUGAGCAUGUAGACAUAUUUAAUACUGAAGAA